CGAUCUCUCUUCUAUUUUGUUUUCUCUCGACAGCUAUAUAUAACGAUUAACAUUGAAACACAAAGAUCCGAGGAUAACUCGUAUAAGUAAAUUUCUACGCAAUAAACUUUUUCCGUUGGAUUGAUGCUUCGUUAGACGAAGAAACGAUAGAACAUUGUCUCGAUUUAGAUCGUCACUACUUAUCUACGAACACGUAGACCUAGUUGCGAUUUCCUCGGAAUUGCUUCUCGAUAUUGCUUUCGCUCAGGAUAGAUUUAAGGAUUUACCGAGAGAAUCCAGCGUGGAUCAAUUCGUCAAUGUGAAAGAGGAUUAGGUGCCUUCUCGGGAUCGUCGAGUAGUACGCAUUAGGAGCCGGAAAUAAGACGUUAUCAAUUUUGCGUGCAUCGAUCGUAAAGAGUGACGUAUGUAUCUCUAGCAAGCUCAAUUAAUCGGUCCACGUUUUAUUCCACUGACAAUGAAACAUAUGGAGCCCAAGUAUCACGAAAUACUCGUGUUUUUCGAGGCGAUUUGGAGGAGAACUCUAGGUAUUCGCUUCCACCUUUGAACUCCGAUUAUUGGCGAAGCCUGACUGCUUACUUAUCGGACUUUACUGGCUAAAACGUAAGCAGCAAACUUGUACUAUACCUAAUUAAACUGCGAGCUAUCGUCUGGCGAUAAAAGAAUGUACGAAAAAAACCGGACCGACAAGGAGGAAGAGGAGGAGGAGGAGGAGGAGGAGGAGGAGAAGCAGGAGCAAAAGAAGAGAAGAGUAGUGGUAGGUACCAGGGAAGGUAUGCCACUGGCAGUCCUCUUUGUCUUUCUCUCCUCCUUUUAGCCUCUUCAUCUACCAUCGGCCCUGCUGGAAAUUUGUUCUUGGUUUCAUGGAGCACGGAAUUAUCGCUGCUUUCAAAGUUGUGCACUUACACAGGUGGAGGGAAGGUAAAGAUCGACGAGAAAGAAACUACGGUGAAGGGGUGCGAACGAGUGUGUGGAAGUAGAUAUAAGAGAAUAGGACGACUGAUGAGAGAGACAGAAAAAGAGAGAAAGAGAGAGAGAGAGAGAGAUAGAUAGAUAGAUAGAGAGAGAGAGAGAGGGAGAGAGAGAGAGAUAGAGAGAGAGAGAGAGAGAGAAUAGUUAAACCGAGACUCGGAAUCUACGAUAUUGAGUUAGAAGUAAGGCAGUAUACUGAAGUGGGGUCUAAUAAAAUUUGAUGACCGGGAACUUCGUAAUGAAAAUGAGACGCGAAAAGAGGAAAAGUUGAUGGCGGGCGGGGUGGCGAUGUAAGAGAGAAAGAAAGGAAAGCAGGGUAACGCGAACAAGAAACGACGCGACCGACUAGGAAAACUUUUCAGAAGCGGCCUUGAUUUAUGAUAUUUCAUCGAUCGCCGUGAACGCGCGCGUACCGUUCUUUCUUAUCGUUGGUACGAACGGAUGAACCCGAUUUAUAGCGUUCUUAUACUUAGCGAAGAGAAAGAGGGAUAGAUCGAUCUCUCGUUCGUUUCUAUGAUGAGACUAACGAGUCCACGUCCACAAGAGAAUCGAUCGGAGGCCGAAGAUAACAAGGAACUAUUAAUUAAAAAUGUCUUUGAGACGAUAUGUGACGUAGAAGAAUGUUAUGAUCGUUCGGCGAAGUUCAUUCAUAAGAAAGGAAAGUAUUCGUUAUUAUAAUUCCUCUCACCUUUGUUCAGAAAGACGAUCCUACUUAGGAAAAGGAGAAAGCCCCAUGCUAAUCUGAUUAAAUGAAUCCUAUUGUCUCUUGCUUUAAACGAGUACGCCGUCCUGCAAUUACAUUUCGAGCUCGUUUCAUUCGGCCGAAUAUGUACGAAUUGUUUCAGGAAAACGGUUCCUCUCUACUCCGUAAUAUUUCGACAAUUCUUGAUCCAACAUCGUCUUUCAAUUUUCUUAGAAGAUUAUACUAAAUAUUGAAUUUGCCGUGAGGAAACAGAAAUAAAAAAUAAAGUUUUAAGUAACAUUAGAGAAAAAGGAAAGACAGAAAAAGAGA